rnacentral:rRNA from 1 species
AUUGAACGCUAGCGGGAUGCCUUACACAUGCAAGUCGAACGGAGUGGCGAACGGGUGAGUAAUGUAUCUGUACGUGCCCCUUAGCGGGGGAUAACUACGCGAAAGCGUAGCUAAUACCACAUACUAUUGGCGUGGCCGAUAUCGGGUUGGCUAGUUGGUGGGGUAACGGCUCACCAAGGCGACGAUCCGUAGCUGGUUUGAGAGGACGACCAGCCACACUGGGACUGAGACACGGUCCAGACUCCUACGGGAGGCAGCAGUGGGGAAUUUUGGACAAUGGGGGAAACCCUGAUCCAGCCAUCCCGCGUGUGCGAUGAAGGCCUUCGGGUUGUAAAGCACUUUUGGCAGGAAAGCGGUACCUGCAGAAUAAGCACCGGCUAACUACGUGCCAGCAGCCGCGGUAAUUC